UUAGAUCAGAAGCGAGAAUGUUGACAUGAGUAGCGACAAACAGGGUGAGAAACCCUGUCGCCGAAAGUCCAAGGGUUCCUGCUUAAAGCUAAUCUGAGCAGGGUAAGCCGGCCCCUAAGGCGAGGCCGAAAGGCGUAGUCGAUGGGAACCAGGUUAAUAUUCCUGGGCCAGUGGGAUGUGACGGAUCGCAGAUGUAGUUUGCCCUUAUCGGAUUGGGUGGGCUGCUGAGCGGUUCCUGGAAAUAGCCCCACAUCAGACCGUACCCUAAACCGACACAGGUGGACUGGUAGAGUAUACCAAGGCGCUUGAGAGAACCACGUUAAAGGAACUCGGCAAAAUGCCUCCGUAAGUUCGCGAGAAGGAGGCCCCGUCUGUAGGCAACUAUGGGCGGGGGGCACAAACUAGGGGGUGGCGACUGUUUACUUAAAACACAGGGCUGUGCGAAGCCGUAAGGCGACGUAUACAGUCUGACGCCUGCCCGGUGCUGGAAGAUUAAGAGGAGGGGUGCAAGCUCUGAAUUGAAGUCCCAGUAAACGGCGGCCGUAACUAUAACGGUCCUAAGGUAGCGAAAUUCCUUGUCGGGUAAGUUCCGACCUGCACGAAUGGCGUAACGAUCUCCCCGCUGUCUCUAACGUGGACUCAGCGAAAUUGAACUGUGUGUCAAGAUGCACACUACCCGCGGUUAGACGGAAAGACCCCAUGAACCUUUACUCCAGCUUUGCACUGGUAUCAGGAUUGUGAUGUGCAGGAUAGGUGGUAGGCAUUGAAUCGGGGACGCCAGUCUUCGUGGAGCCUCCCUUGAGAUACCACCCUUCGCCAUCUUGAUAUCUAACCGCGGCCCGUUAUCCGGGUCCGGGACCCCUGCAUGGUGGGGAGUUUGACUGGGGCGGUCGCCUCCCAAACAGUAACGGAGGCGCGCGAUGGUUGGCUCAGACCGGUCGGAAAUCGGUCGUUGAGUGCAAUGGCAGAAGCCAGCCUGACUGCAAGACUGACAAGUCGAGCAGAGACGAAAGUCGGUCAUAGUGAUCCGGUGGUCCCAAGUGGGAGGGCCAUCGCUCAACGGAUAAAAGGUACUCUGGGGAUAACAGGCUGAUGAUGCCCAAGAGUCCAUAUCGACGGCAUCGUUUGGCACCUCGAUGUCGGCUCAUCUCAUCCUGGGGCUGGAGCAGGUCCCAAGGGUAUGGCUGUUCGCCAUUUAAAGAGGUACGUGAGCUGGGUUUAGAACGUCGUGAGACAGUUCGGUCCCUAUCUGCCGUGGGUGCAGGAGACUUGAGAAGAGUUGACCCUAGUACGAGAGGACCGGGUUGAACGAACCACUGGUGGACCAGUUAUCGUGCCAACGGUAGUGCUGGGUAGCUAUGUUCGGACAGGAUAACCGCUGAAGGCAUCUAAGCGGGAAGCCCCCUUCAAAACAAGGUCUCCCUUGAGGGCCGUGGAAGACGACCACGUCGAUAGGCCAGAGGUGUAAGUGCAGCAAUGCAUUCAGCUGACUGGUACUAAUUGCCC
rnacentral:rRNA from 1 species